rnacentral:rRNA from 1 species
AUUGAACGCUGGCGGCAGGCCUAACACAUGCAAGUCGAGCGAGCGGCGGGCGGGUGAGUAAUGUAUGGAGAUCUGCCAGAUAGAGGGGGAUAACUACUGGAAACGGUGGCUAAUACCGCAUACUAUCGGCUAAACCCAGAUGGCAUUAGCUAGUAGGUGGGGUAAAGGCUCACCUAGGCCACGAUCUCUAGCUGGUCUGAGAGGAUGAUCAGCCACACUGGGACUGAGACACGGCCCAGACUCCUACGGGAGGCAGCAGUGGGGAAUAUUGCACAAGGGGCGAAAGCCUGAUGCAGCCAUGCCGCGUGUAUGAAGAAGGUCUUAGGGUUGUAAAGUACUUUCAGCGGGGAGGCGUUACCCGCAGAGGAAGCACCGGCUAACUCCGUGCCAGCAGCCGCGGUAAUUC